AUCCUACGGGAGGCAGCAGUAGGGAAUCUUCCACAAUGGGCGAAAGCCUGAUGGAGCAACGCCGCGUGGGUGAAGAAGGUCUUCGGAUCGUAAAACCCUGUUGUUAGAGAAGAAAGUGCGUGAGAGUAACUGUUCACGUUUCGACGGUAUCUAACCAGAAAGCCACGGCUAACUACGUGCCAGCAGCCGCGGUAAUACGUAGGUGGCAAGCGUUAUUCGGAUUUAUUGGGCGUAAAGGGAACGCAGGCGGUCUUCUAAGUCUGAUGUGAAAGCCUUCGGCUUAACCGGAGUAGUGCAUUGGAAAC
rnacentral:rRNA from 1 species